AGCGAGUUUCGAGCCGAGCCUAAUUCGAGCCAACUUUAAUCGAGCCGAGCCGAGCCGGCUCGAUUAACUAAUCGAGCCUAAAUCUUUGCCCGAACUCGACUCGGUUAAUUUCACGAGUCGAGUCGAGCCGGCUCGUUUAGCUAAACGAGCCGGUUUUAACGAGCCGAGCGAGCCAGCUCGUAUAAUUUUACACUUAAUCGAGCCCAAACCUCUACCCGAACUCGGCUCGUUUAAUUUCACGAGUCGAGUCGAGCCGGCUCGUUUAAUUAAACGAGCGGAAACCUUUACCCGAACUCGGCUCGUUUAACGAGUCGAGCCG
rnacentral:lncRNA from 1 species